AGAAAAAAUAAGAUUCAUGUCUUUUAAUAAAAUUGCUUUCAAAAGCACUUACCACAAUCACCUCAUCUUAUCUAGCAUGGCCUAUUGUCAGUGUUCAUACUGUUACUGGUCUAAUUUCUAUAGUAAAUUUUACAGAGCAGAAAUUUUUCCUUCUUAUUACCUCUCUCUGCUAUCCUGUGGGCUAGUUUGUGCUUGGCUUCUACUAACACCUUAAGUGAAGGGGAUAAAAGCCUGUUCUGCUAUCAUGUCUCUCCAAAUUCUGCAUGAAGUGCUUUGUUUUGGGGUUUUCUUGGCAUAGUAUAAGCUCCCAAGUAAAAGGAGAGACCUGGCCAGUUACCAUAUGUCUGUUAGUGAUGCCAUGUAAUGGGAUAUCACCAUUUUGAGACUUUCUUCAUGUACUCAGAUAGUUUUGUGAGGCAUCAGCCACAGUGAUGCCACCGCAAGAGCUGACAGAGGGAUUGUUCAGCCCCACAAAGAUGAAACCUUUUUUCAGCAUUUUUAAAUUGUCAGUGAUCAAAGAGAUAUUAUAUUUAUACAAUGCUUUUGUAAAAAUAAGAACUGAGUAAAAAAUACAGCCAAGAUUUAAAAUAACAAAGCAAAACAACAGAGAAACCGUUUUACCUCACAUGCAGCAAGGGCCACAUGCUCACCAGUGGGAGUUACCUAAUUUCCUUCACUGUAACAGUGCUGACUGUUGUGCUGGGGAUUUGCUGUGAGCAGGCAGGCUCAUAAGGGUUUUACCAAGCAGCUGUGGGAUGCUGCUUGACUGCACAGAGGACAGAGAUAUUGAACAUUCCAAAAAGUUCUUAAAUCCCAGUUUCCCCAAACUGACUGCAAGAAUCACCUUGCCUAUCUCAGAGGUUACAGCUCCAUCUCCCCGUGGCACGCUGCAGAGCUUGGCUUGACAUCAUUCCUGCUGGCCUCAUCGUUUUGAUGUGCACCUGACUCUCUAUGAGCCUGGAAGUGACAUGUGCACCAAGAUGUUAUAGAAGAUGCAGUGCUGUAUUCAUGGACUAUUCUAGCACUACCUGUGUGGUACUAAAUGCUUACUGAAAAACCAAAGAACCUGAUGUGCAAUUCCAGAUUCUGUAUAUAGAAAAGCCGGGUUCGCUCACACCACAGAUAUUUGUUUGUGGGACAAAAAGAGCUUGAAAAAAGACAAUCCACAUACUGCCCAAGCCAUUGCUUUGCAUAAACCUCCCAGAUUCCAUGUCUCCUAAUAUAGAAUAUUACUGGUCUCAUUACACAGUCUGGCUACAUCUGAAAACUCAGCACAGAAAACCAAGCAAGCAAGAUGUCAAAAUUCUCAACCUGAAAGAAAAACAGCAGCACCAUUGAUUUUCAGGUAAGAAUUCUUGUCAUCCUAGAAGGUGAAUUAAAUUCAGCUUCAAGCAACACCAGCUGUUUGAUUGACUGCUGACAUUGGCAGAUGCUUUGAGCAGAAGGGCCACCCCUCACAGACCUGGGCUGAGCAAUGCCUGCAGCUGAAACAGCAGCUUUUGUACGUGGACCACAGACACAGGGAUGAAAUCCCACAUUUCACCAAAAUAAAAUUCACUUUACAAAUGGGAAUCGUUUAAAACAAACAAUCCAAAACCCACUUGUUAAACUAGAUGAAAUCAAAGCCUGAGGAGAGUGAAUCAAGACUCAAGUGUAAGGAUUAAGUCCUGGAGGAGUUGUUAACACCAGGUUCACACCAGAUUUAGUGCUUCUGUGAGUGAAGGAGGUGGAACUGUGGCUUUGACUAAUUUUAUUUAAAGUAACUCAUCUUAAGGAUUAUUUUUAGUUACAGAGUGAGAAGCAAUCAAGUAAAUUGUUUAUUUUUAUUAUUACACUGAGCUACAAAUCAAAAGCUGGAAUGAGAGAAUGGAUUUUAGGACAGAACCUAAUCUAACCAGGAGUAGAAAAAGAACAGCACAGGAAUGUCAGAUAUCUUAAUCACACACUUGAGGGGCCAUCAGAUAGCUAAAUUAUGCUGCACACAACUUCAGAUCCAAGCUUGGGUAGUUCAACUACAUCAAAACUGGUCAGAUCACCACCUGAAUGCAAAACUGCAUUUCUGAGGUAAUCAGUGUUGUGAUUUUUGUACUAUAACUGUCCAGGCAGAUUGGUAGUAUUUCUGGUCAUGUAUCAACCUUGAACAAAGGAAGAACAUAACUGCCUUUUCAUUUGACCAUUUAUAUUUCAUUAAUCACAGUGUCCUUAUUAUGCAGAAAAUUAGACUGAAUUAGAAACUGAACAUAAAAUUGAAUUACAUCUCAAGUUAAAAUAUAGAUUCCCUAAUAGUUUAUCCUUGUCAAACCAGCAAUUCAAUGAUCUCUUCUCUGUGAUGAGCCUUCUAGGGACUCUUUGCUCAAGGAUAAAUUAAGUUCUCCACCCUUUAAGUGCCUGGAGCACUGCUCUGCAGAAAUACUGAUCAAUUCAAACUCCAGCUCUGCAUAGCAAGGAAGCUGAAGAUCUUCAAAACCAUAACAUGAUUUGGUUUCCUGGAUCCAUCUCUACUGCUAGAUGUAGCAGAGGACUUGUACACUAGCACAGGAAGUAUAACUUAGGCAAAAAUUGCUAAGAAACAUCAGCAUUUUUCUUCUUGACAUGUCAAGUUUCUGUAUAGGGAGUGGUGGGGAAACAUCUGCUUUACUUGACUUAUUAUAAAGCCAGUCCUUUCUCCUUCCUUUAGGGGAAAAAAAAUGUAAUGGAACAUCACUUAGCUUACAGGAAUCUUUAAUUAAAUGUUUGAUUAAAUUUAGAACAGACAUUUUUAUGUCAGACUUUGCAUUUGUAAAUUUUGAAUUUAUCAAUAAAUCACCCAUAUUAUCUACGUGAAAUCCAUAUUUGUUUACAGUACAGCAAGUAAGCCUUGGGCAAUACUUUUCACAAAUCUGUGUUUCUCUGAAGAAAACUUCUCUUUACUAUGUAUGUAUGCAAAGUUUUUUCUAAGUAUAAAUAAAUCUUCCUGGCCUGUAUGUUCUCUGUGUGAGACAAACAUGGGGCCUAUGCAUAACUGUGAGCCAUUUUGCAAAUAUCUCUCCUCACCAGAGGGGAUCCAGUUUCUUUGUCCCCCAAGAAUAUUGCAUUUGGGAACAUACAGAACCCUUAUUUUCCCCAUUUGGAGGAUGGGGAAAUUGGAUUU